CUAGGGAUCCGGGUUUCGAGGGAGGGUAGCGAUCGAGCACUUGAGCACGAGCUGAGAAGAAAUGCGGGGAGAACAAUAGGCUAGAGGUAACCAGGAGCUGGUGCUGCGUCAUCCCUGGUGUCUGAGUUUGUCUUCACCGACGCGGUAACGAGGUACACGUCAAGCAAAGAGCUCAUCUUUCCGCGACCUGUCACGAAAACCGACCACCCACAAUUUUUUCCAAGCACGAUCGCAUUAUCUCACAGAAUUUUCGUUGUCAAUGAGUUCUAAGAUAAUCUGCAUCACACAGCUAGUUAAUUAAAAAUAAAUCACGUCAUAGAUCGAAUAUACUUAACUCUACACGAGCACUUCACUUAUGGUGUCUUUCCAUGCACGUGAUUGGUAAGAAAAAUUGCUAGUUUCCUACAUAAAAUCAGAGAUGGCACUUUGACACGUGUUCGAAAGAGGCACGUGUGGUGUAAAAUAUAGUGAAUUGAUAUAUUGAUCUCGUGAUCUCUAAUUUUUUUGGUGCAUGGUUAAUUUCCGUUUCUUCGUUUCUAUAGCCUGCAUAAAAAUUUAUUCGCAGCUGCUUGAUCUUUCCGCGUCGUUUCGCACCGCGCAAACGACCGUAGACACUCGGCCAAUACAUACUUAUCAAAUGCAGGCGGCAUAGUCAGUACAAAACGAUAUGUACGAAUAAGAAAAGGACAAUACGGCAAAUCACGCAAGACCAAGCGAGAUAAGAGAGAAGAACGAAAUGGAUGCCUGUACUCGUGUACGAAUAUACGAAUAAAUGUGUGCGCGUGCGCGUUGCAUGUACACAUUCACAGAGCAUCCAACGUAUGUCACGAUAUUACAUGGGUUGCUGCGUUUUUACGUUGCCGGAGAGCAAUGCGUACACCAUGGCGGAAGUGCGUAAGAGAACGCCGACUGCCAGAGGAAAGAAAAUAGAAAGAAUAGAGAAGAGAAGAAGAGCAGAGAAGAAAAAAAAGAAAAAACUAAAGAAGGGAGAGAGAACGAAGGCAGAAGAGAACUCGGAUGUGCCGUGGAGCAGAGUCGUGUGAGGAGAAACAAGGAUUUAAAAAGAAAUGAGUGAAACUAUUGUCCGAGCGAAUCCAAGUAGAGGCAGUAGGAAAUGGGAACUCGUAUACCCGUAUGGAAAGUACAGAGUGAACGCAUUACACGCAAGCGACGACUCGUACUCGAUGAAGAUGUAAGGGCCGCAUUGUGUCCUGCAUCGUCGAGAGAACUCGAGAAUAAAAAGAGAGAAAGAGAAAGUAGUACACAUCAUGUAGAGAAAGAGAGAAAGAGAGAGAGAGAGGCCGGGAACCUCUAACUACUAACGUGGGGUAGAUCUCGCCGCGGAUAGUGCUUUAUUUCAU